rnacentral:rRNA from 1 species
UACGUAGGGUGCAAGCGUUAAUCGGAAUUACUGGGCGUAAAGCGUGCGCAGGCGGUUUUGUAAGUCUGUCGUGAAAGCCCCGGGCUCAACCUGGGAAUUGCGAUGGAGACUGCAAGGCUCGAAUCUGGCAGAGGGGGGUAGAAUUCCACGUGUAGCAGUGAAAUGCGUAGAGAUGUGGAGGAAUACCGAUGGCGAAGGCAGCCCCCUGGGAUGACACUGACGCUCAUGCACGAAAGCGUGGGGAGCAAACAGG